UCAAAUCCUUGUUCCACAAACGUCACCGAGAUAGAAUAGCAGAUAAUGGGUCUUCUGUUCAUACCAGAGCAUAAUCGAUGGUCAUCAAAGCAUUGUACGUUCCCUCAUUGGCCCGCUGUGGCAGGUGAAGAAACUGUAGUCCGGCUGAUUAAAUUGCAGAUGCUCAGGCCAAUUAUUUGCAGCUUGUUGCAAGGAAGAUAGCUUGUGGCACUCUUGCCUCUUGAGCUCUGCUUUGGUUCCACAGAGAUACUUUGAGCUUAUAAGAUGUGAGUCCAAAAGUAGGCACCAGUAGCUUUAGGGAUGGUUAGGUCUCACUACAACCAAGGAACCUGCUUGAACAAAUAGACAACACAAUGUAAGAGAUCUUUCUAGGUUGUGACAAUCAGACAUACAUAUUAUACUGAUAACAUCGAAAGCUUAUGUUACUACUUCCGUUGAGGAGGUGUUGCUGAGAGAGAGUGGAAAGUUAGAAAGUAGUCAUCAACGUGUUAUAAUGUUGGACAAACAGUUAUUGGGUACCUAAAUACCAACAAAUUAAAAGAUCACCGUUUCACACACAUAUAAAUAUAUAUAUAUAUAUAUAUUUCAAAGAUAACAACCUCCAGCCCCAAGAGAAGGUUUGCAGAUUGAAAGAGAAGCGACAUAAAAUACUCCAAGCAUUUAAAAAAAAAUGAUCGAAUUUUUAGGGUGUCAGUAAAAAAUUACCUUAUGCAAAGAUUUGUGAUGUCAAUGGAUAACAGUGCGUGCCGAUCAUUUUUUUGAAUAAACCAAACUACUAUAUCAUCUCUGUUUUGGUAAAUCUCUACUUUCUUAAUUUAAAAGAAAGAAACGUCAAAAGAAGACACAUAUGCGUCACAGGCCAGAACAAAACGUGAGAAUGAACUUAACAAACUUGGCUGUUCGUGAGUGAAGCACCUGCGGUUGGACCAAAUCCAGAAACUAUGUUCAGAACACCAGGAGGAAGACCUGCCUAUCAUAUAUUUCAAGAAACAUACUUAAGGCUUUUAUUUUAGUAGCAAAAAUGGUAAGUAGAACGUGAAAGGAACGAAACAUUGAUUACUUCAAAAAAAAGCUUACUGACAUAAAACCAGUGAGAGGAGUUUGUUCAGCGGUUUUGAGGACAAUGGUGUUACCACAAGUAAGAGCAAGACCAACUUUCCAAGCAAACAUCAGAAGCGGAAAGUUCCAUUGAAUGAUCUGUCCAGCAACGCAUAUCGGUUCAUGCAGUGUCUGGACGUGAUAGUUUCCAUUGGCUGGAAUUGUUAGUCCAUGAAUCUUAUCCGCCCCUCCUACACAUCAAAGAAAAACUUACCAACAAAAGCAAGAAAAUUUGAUAGUAUUCUCAAGAUUUUGAUGUAUAUACCAGCAUCAUUACAAAACAAACCGGCGAUCAUUGCAAUCUCUGCGGUUUUGGCUUGAUCAUAAGUAUUCCCAUUGCCACAUGUGUCUAGAGCUGCGAGCUCUUCGCUGUGUUUCUCAACCAAAUAUGUGAAUCUCAGCAUUAUCUUUGACUUUUCCUGAAAUUCAAACAAAGAUAAGUCCACAUCACAUUAAAUUUCAUAGCUUUCAAGAUCAAAAACAUUAUAUAGUAUUAUACAUAAGCAAUCAUCUAAGGCCAAGCUCCUUCAUCAAUGGACUUCCUUGCAGCUUUCAUUGCCCGGUUGAUAUCUUCAGCAUCGCCUUCAGCUACGUUCGCAAUGACUUCCUUUGUGCGUGUAUCAAGAGCUGGGAAGGUCUUACCUAAACCCAAUUAAAAAAUCAAACAUUAUUGCUCAAGGAACUAAAAUUUCAAGCGUCAAUAUUUUUCCUUGCUAUUCCUCCGUUUCUGAACAAAGCAUUUUUUAAAAUGAAAACUUUACUCACCAGAAGCAGCGCCUACGAAGUUCCCAUUGUUAAGGAAUUGUGUGUAAGAAAAUUGAACCGAUGGGAUUAUGAUUUCUUCAGCUGCAGAGGAGGUUCCAAAUCACCGUACGAUUUCCCUUUUAAUGUAACAAAUUCUCCAUAUAACCGAAGUGUUUUAAUACAUCAUAGCCACAUAUUCACAUAUUAAAGAAUCUAACUUCCGGUCUACUUUACAACAACAACUUUUUCUGCUUUAUUGUUGUACCCUACUAAACACUAAAUGUCAACUAAUCCAAGAAGCAGCAAUGAACACCUUAACGCACUUAAAAUCUAAAAGACCAAAGAACACACAGAUUCCAAAGGAGUCGAACCUGAGCUUGAGAAGUCUCGAUUCACCGUCUUGCGAUAGCUCUGAUAGCACGCCCUGACUUUAUCACUUUCUAUUUCUCAAAGGAGACUGAAAAACGUUGGUGAGACAUACCUAUAUCUCCAUAGUUGCAAUCAAUGGACCUCUGAGCUGCACAAUAAUUAUGUAAGAAAAAAACUUUUGUCCUUAAAGAAACUGAGAUCAAAAAGAGGCAAAUAAGAUGUCCUUACAUCAGACUGCUUGAUUUCACACAGGGUGCUGGGCAUAGAUUGGUUUUUGAUAGAUAAAUUACCGUCGUCCAACAGUGAAUACAUGGCCUCUCAUGAUACAGUGUGGGGUUCUGAAAUUACAUAAAAAAAACACUGGGACAGUUAGACACAGAAGUAUUGUAGUCAAUAAAUAAAAAAGUCUCGGACAUAACAGCAUAGUUCUGUCGGAAAAAUAUAAAAGAACCAAACAUGAAGCCAACUGAACUCGUUGGGCAUGAACUGAAAGACCAAACCUUCAACAAAAAAGUAUUACACGCACUGCACACUGCUAAACCUUAAAGGCGCAACUCGCAGACUAUUAGAUCAAACCAAUAAAAAAACUAUCACUGAUGAAACUUGACCCACCUGAGAAUACUGACAAAGUAGCUUCGCCCAUGGAGCCUUAGCUCGCUUCUUCCCCGCCUUCGAGUUCUCACCAUCCGUCACCACUUCACCUAAAUCCACAAAAACAGUAGAUAUGAUAAUUAAUCAGGGAAAAAUCGUGAGACAGACCACCAAACCAAACCUGCUAUUGUAGGUGUCUCCAAGACAUCGGCUUCAGGUUUUGUGUCGGCUUCAGGAUAGAUCUCCAUCACAGGCACAUCAGUUUAAACAGGUUUCUCCGCAUCCAUCAGGUAAUCAGAGGAUCCAAGCUCCGACUCUCCAGAUUCCGAUCCAGGAUCCGAAACCGGUCCUUGAUUCUCAACCAGAACCUCGCUGCCGAUGAAGACUCUGCUGGUUCCGCCGCCGCCGCCUAAACUAUUAAAAAAUCAAAAAUCAGAUUCGAAACCAAAAAAAAAAAGAAAGAAACUCAGAUUCGGACAAGAACAAACAUACAAAUUCAAUAGCGGCAUCGAUCUUAACCUUAGGUCGCUUGGUAGGGGGUGGAGAUGAUGAAGACGGUUCAGGGGAUAAAGAAGAAGAACAGAAACGCUUGAAAGCCGAAGAGCUACGUCUCGUCUCCACGAUAUCCCAAGAAAUCAUAAACAUAUGUAUUUAUUAUUUAAUAACGAAACCAAACUGAGAUAACCAAACCAGACAUGAAUUAUGGGACCCACAAACAUAAAGGAGUCGCUGACGUGGAUAGCUUUAGGAGAGACUAAACUGUGGCAUUAUAAUAUAGAUUGUGUCUCCCAGAGAUUGCAAUCAAUUCAAUAGCCCCAACUCUGAAUCUCGAUGGUUUACAUAGUUUCAUGGGACGAAUUCGUAGAUCGAUCUGUUCAGCUUUUCAAAGCUGAUCCCGAAUCUGUAAGUUAUCUUUAUCUUUCCCGAUUGCGUUCGUCACAGUUGCUUUGGAGAUUUUGAGCUUCAUUUUAACUGUUUGGGUUAUGAUCCGUCUCGAGUUUUUCGUAUUGAGGAUUCGAUAAACAUUGAUAAUUGAUUUGAAAUAGGCAAUCUACAUGUUUUGUUUCCAGAAUGCAGUAAUUUUGUUUUCUAAUGAAUUAGAUGUUUGGGGUGCAGACUCGGUACGUUGUCAAGUAUAGACAUUGUGAUGGCAAGUUGGUUCUCAAGGUUACUGAUAACAAAGAGGUCGGUACACCCUGUCUACGAUCGCUUCUUGUAAUUGUUUGUGCUUCUCGUAUUGUACGUGUACUAUAAUAGAUACUUGUUGGUUUGGAGAAUGUAGCAGUUUUCUUAUGUAUUGGCCGGGUCAUGAGUUAAAUAAGCAGAUCUACUGGUAGCAGUUUACCUUGGUGAAGCUUGUUUGUGUUUGUUACUCAAAGGUCUAUGCAUUGAGCUACGCCAAAGUUUGAGACAGAGAAUUGCCUCUAUCUCUGUUGUUAAUUAGCUCCUCCCUGUUGUUGCCCUCUUGUUUCAUUAUGUGCAUUUUUUUUUUAAUUUUUUUUUCUUUGAUCUUAGUGUCUCAAGUUCAAGACGGACCAAGCACAAGAAGCAAGGAAGAUGGAGAAACUGAAUAACAUAUUCUUCACCUUCAUGGCCAGAGGACCUGAUGGUAACAUCUUCUUUUCUUUAAUCUUCAUUAAAGAGAUUAUGGAAGUUUCACAGUCGAAGAUGUUCGUAUUAUGGUUCUAUGAAGUUCUACUCUGACUUUAUUGCUUACUUUAUUUAUGCAGUUGAUCUUUCUGAAGUGAACGGGAAAGAACAGAUGGAGACACAACCUGUGAAGAAAGGAAGAGGACGGAAGCAAUAAGUCCCAUGAUUCUGUUUUUCUUUCUUUCUUUUUGGUAUCAAGAUUUUGAUCCAUUUUUGGGGAUAUUCUGAGUUGGGGAUUGUGAUGAUAGGAUUAUUAAAUAUUGGUUCUUAUUUAACCUGACUUUGGAUCUAAAAAUACAUCUUUCAUCGAAAAUGCUAAUUAUGUAACCAUCUUAUCAUCCAAUCUUUCUGUCUGUCCUCUCAGUAAUAUGGCAGUCGGUGUGGCUUCAAUUCAUUUUCUCCCAAGCCCUCCUUUACUCUCAAGUAACAUACAAACUAAUAUUUAUCGGUUUUUAAUCAUAUAUAGUGAUAAGAUUUUGUUUUCGUGAGACUUGUCCCGAAUUGGAAUCAGAAUUGAUAUCAUACUCACUCAUGCAUUUUGACACGAACACCCCGAAAAACCGAAAUAUGACGUUGCUGAAAAUGUAACUUAUCUCAUGCCUGUAUAUAUAUAUAUAUAUAUACGUAUAUAGUGCAACUAUUACCUAAACAUUAAAAGCAUGGAGUUGAUAAAUAGUUUGUGCACGGCCAAGAGAGAGGAAAUCGAUCGGCCAUUAGCUGAUUUCCCGGUGAAUAUAUGGGAAGAUCCCUUGACAUCUUUUGUAGUUUCCGAUACGGUAUGUAUCUUUCCUUGUCAUCACUACAUUCAAUGAAUUAUGAAUACAAAUCAAUGUUAUUGUUUGAAACCGAGUUUGGUCAGAAACAAGUGAGAGAGACGAAACUCGUCGGUGGACUCAUUGGUGGACUAGUAACAAAGGCGUUUUAUUAGACCGAGAAGAAGUUUGUCGGUUACAAGUAAGGAAACAGACGGUGAAACAAGCCGGUGAAACAGAGUUCACCGGAAAAGUACAAGUCGUCAAGAAUUAAAUAAGCAAAACCCUAAUUCUAGCCGUCAAGUGUGUGGGUUGAUUUCGGAUCCCCUUUCUUGAUGUCGCCUCGUUUCCUUUUAUAGCCGGUCUCCAUGAGUUAAUCACUUUUAAUCGCCUGCUUGAGUCGGCUAAAAGUAGUUACGAGCCGAAUGUCUCGUCUGUCUUGGACAACUUUUAGUCGCCGUAUGUUGGUUUGUUGUUUCUCGGUUUUGGUUAACCAGGUUAUCUUUUUCUAUAAACCAAUCGUUUUGUCCCGGUUGAAUUCGGUAUGGAUUGAUAUAACCGGUUAGGUGCAAACCGGGUUUCAGUUUGCACUGAGAAGCGGAACUGUCACCAUGACAUAUAUUAAGUCUAUUUUUGUUAUGUUUCAAAACCCCGAUACAUAAUUCGUCAGAAAUUUGUCGAAAAUUUAUGAUGAAUUUAUGACAAAUAUAUUUCUGACGAAUUUCCGACGAACAUGGUAUAUUCCGACGAACUUUCGAAGAAAAUGGUAUAUUUCGACGAAUUUCUGACGAAAAUGGUAUAUUCGUCGGAAAUUCGUCUGUAAUUGAAAUUUGACAACAAAAAAACCCGCCUAAUUUUUUGCGAAGCACCAAAAUAAAAAAUUCCGAUGAAUUUCUGACGAACAUAAUCCGUUAGAAAAUUUUAAUAUAAAAACGUAAGCCCCUUCUGCUUCCUUAUUUCUCCUCUCUCUCUCUAAACACACACAAAUUCUCUCCGAUUCUCUCUCUCUAGUCCCGCGAUUUUAAGCCUUAAACUCCUCAAAUCCACCUCACAAAUUAUGUAAGUCAUCUCUUCCCUUUUCGCAUUUGACUAAUGUUACUUUUUGAUUGUGAAAUUGUGAAUUUUAGGUUUUGAAUGUUGGAUCUAUGUUCGGAUGAAGAAUUUUAUGAAUUAGAUGUUUGAUUUUGUUGUGGUUUAGAUAGGUUUUGAUUGUGAUUUUGUGGUUUUUUUUAUUUAAUUUGUUGUUUUGUGAAGUUUAGAGAGUUUUUAUUAUUUUAUAAAAGAUUUUUCAAACUUUAAAACCUUUUUGAAGUUUUUUAUAAUUUUUGAAUGUUUAAAAAAUAUAUAUACUUUUUUUUUCAAGUUUUUAUUAUUUUUGUUGUUGUUUAAAACGUUUUUAUGUUCUAUUAAACUUUAUAAGCUUUUUAUAAAACAUUUUAAGAUUUCAUAAAAAGUUUUUAAUUUUGUUAUAAUUUAUAAAUUGGUUUUUGGUUUCUAAAGUUUAUCAAAACGUUUUUCACGUUUUUAAAAGCCUUUUCAAUCUAUAAAAGGUUUUUUUUUUCGUUUUUAGAUUUAAUUAAAACGUUUUUCAAUUUUUAGAAAACGGUUUCAUUUACAAAAACUGUUUUUUUUUUUAAUUUUANNNNNNNNNNNNNNNNNNNNNNNNNNNNNNNNNNNNNNNNNNNNNNNNNNNNNNNNNNNNNNNNNNNNNNNNNNNNNNNNNNNNNNNNNNNNNNNNNNNNAAUAAUGUACCUUGAUACCAAAAGCAAGGAAGUACAGAGAGCAGUGAGGCUGCUCCUAAGUUAUUUGAAGCAACAUGCAAAGACACGUUGAAGAUAUAUCAUGUCUUUCCACACUGUCUAUAAUGCUGUCAACGCCUUGGUCAUGCCCUUGUCUUGAUGUAUGUAUCCAAGCCUCGUAGCUUAUGAGUGUAUGUUGUUGUCUAAUUUACUUGGGAACCUUAAAGUGCAUAUUCAAGUAACAGUACCACAAAAAAAAAAAAAAAAGUAACAGUACCACCUUUUUACUCUAUUCACUCAAAAUUAGUCAGUUAAAAAAAUAUCAUUACUUAAACCUGUUACAAAUUGAUAUAUAACCUAAGCUGUGUUUCACUUCAGCAAUCUAAUUGUACUACAAAAAGUUUUGCAUCUCUACAUUACAACACCAAACAAACUUCACAAUGUGCUCCUCAAAUCCUUGUUCCACAAACGUCACCGAGAUAGAAUAGCAGAUAAUGGGUCUUCUGUUCAUACCAGAGCAUAAUCGAUGGUCAUCAAAGCAUUGUACGUUCCCUCAUUGGCCCGCUGUGGCAGGUGAAGAAACUGUAGUCCGGCUGAUUAAAUUGCAGAUGCUCAGGCCAAUUAUUUGCAGCUUGUUGCAAGGAAGAUAGCUUGUGGCACUCUUGCCUCUUGAGCUCUGCUUUGGUUCCACAGAGAU
rnacentral:lncRNA from 1 species